rnacentral:rRNA from 1 species
UACGAAGGGGGCGAGCGUUGUUCGGAUUUACUGGGCGUAAAGGGCGCGCAGGCGGUUCUGUUUGUCGAGUGUGAAAGCCCCGGGCUCAACCUGGGAACUGCGCUCGAAACGGCGGAACUAGAGUUCGGGAGAGGAGAGUGGAACUCCCAGUGUAGAGGUGAAAUUCGUAGAUAUUCGCAAGAACACCAGUGGCGAAGGCGGCUCACUGGCCCGAUACUGACGCUGAGGCACGAAAGUGUGGGGAGCAAACAGG